rnacentral:rRNA from 1 species
UCCUACGGGUGGCUGCAGUGGGGAAUAUUGGACAAUGGGCGAAAGCCUGAUCCAGCAAUGCCGCGUGAGUGAUGAAGGCCUUAGGGUUGUAAAGCUCUUUUACCCGGGAAGAUAAUGACUGUACCGGGAGAAUAAGCUCCGGCUAACUCCGUGCCAGCAGCCGCGGUAAUACGGAGGGAGCUAGCGUUGUUCGGAAUUACUGGGCGUAAAGCGCACGUAGGCGGCUUUGUAAGUUAGAGGUGAAAGCCUGGAGCUUAACUCCAGAACUGCCUUUAAGACUGCAUCGCUUGAAUCCGGGAGAGGUGAGUGGAAUUCCGAGUGUAGAGGUGAAAUUCGUAGAUAUUCGGAAGAACACCAGUGGCGAAGGCGGCUCACUGGACCGGUAUUGACGCUGAGGUGCGAAAGCGUGGGGAGCAAACAGGAUUAGAUACCCUUGUAGUCU